ensembl:lncRNA
CUCCUAGGCAGGUUUGAUUGAUGUGGAUGGCUGAACAGAGAGGUCAAGUCCAUCAGUAAAACCAAAUGUUCUCCUAAAAUGUAGACACACAGAAAAUAGGUUCUCAUUGACUGGACUGGACAGAUCAAGGUGCGAACAUUUUUCCCAGGGUGUCGUGAUCCUGGUACUUAAGAUGGCCAGCAUGACCUCUCAGAGAAGGUUUUUCUACUGGUUGCUUUUCAUUUCUCAGCCUUGGAUCUGUUUGCUUAGCCACAUUAUUUUUUUCCCCUCCUUUUUAUUCCUUGUCCUGCCUUAAAUUUUAUCUUUGUCGUCACAGAUUAAAAACUGAUACCCAUGGUUGGAUGAAAGAAGGAGAAUUUAGCUUAACAGAACUUUUAAAUAGAGCAGUUCAGGAAUAGAAUGGGCUGCCAUGUGAUUUCUCCAUUAUUGGAAGCACUCAAGCAGGGGUACUGCCACCUGCCAGGGUUCUGAGCUGGGUGCUGGGGAUAGGAUUCUUGUAUUUGGAGAGGAGCCUGGGAUGAUGGCUCAGGGGCUUUUGCCCUCUCAGAUUCCUUGGUUUUCUCUGAGUCCCCAGCACCUAAUGGUUGUUCUCCACUUUUAAAAAGGCAUCGCACAUGUGAGCUAGUCCAUUACAAAAAAAAAUUAUUAUUAUUUUUUUUACAGAAAAGUAAUCAGGCUUCUAGGGAGGAUGAAUAACUAACUCAGAGGGGAGAUGGGGUCAGGGCCAGGAAGCUCACCCCUCACUCUCCCAGACGCCUGUCAUGGCUGGGACUUUGCUUACAUUAGUUCUCAAACCCACUGGGACCAAUCACUUUUAUUGCCAAUCUAUUUUGGGGCUCUAUUCUUGUGGCAAUAAAUCAUUCUUUCAGAGCUCUUUCUAUUUAACCUUGCAAGAGUGUGUGUGUGUGGGGGGUGCUUACAUAAAUGCAUUAUUUUUAACCUGCCUGGCAUGUUUUAAGUUGGCAAUAAAUGAAUGUGCAGAGAAUAAGGGUUUGUGGUUAUUAUGAAGCCUCACAGCCCAUCGUGUUGGGUUCCUUUCCAUUACUAAAUCUUAUUUUGGACUUCUGGCUGCAAGCCCUUUUCUUUCCAGUGGAGUAUGUGAAGAUAGUUGUGUGUGUGACAUAGGGAGCAGCAUGCAUAUCUUGCUAUGUUUUGAUAUGAUUUUGUCAUAGAACAUUGAAGGAACUUUUCAUGUUUCUGUUUCUGACACCGCUUACGUAGCUGGCCACCGAGCUUGGCGUGCUGUUUCUGUGUGUAUUUAGAAGCCUGGUGGCUUUGGUCUUUUGAGCACCAAUAAUAAUUAUUGUGUUAUGAAGCCGGUCCCUGUUACCUUCAAUAUUUUGAAAAGGGAAGUUGAAGCAAAUGUAACUUGAUAGUGCAUGUUGGUCUCCUCUUUUUCAGUGGCACAGUGAAGCUCAGUUUUAGAGGAAAGCAAAUAGCUAAAAAGACUCAUAAGUGAUUUUCAAGAAAUCAAAGAGCAGUAAAACAAUCACUGAAAGAAACUUUUCAUUGAGACCUUGUAAGCUGACUUAUUGACAUGGGGUAUUGUAUUUUUCCCUUUGCAGUUUAACCAUCCAAUAUUCAAAUGAAGCCGUUUAAACCAUUUAAAUGAUUAACCAAGAUUUAAGUGAUGCUUAUGGUUCUGUUCAGAAUUCAGUAUGUGGUUUAAAUAUGCUCUUCGAAUGUAUAUUAAAAACAUGUGAUUAGGAUGGCCUUUUUAAAAAGACCUUUUUUUUUUUGAUAGGCAAGAAAUGAAUUUAUUAAGAUAGGAUGCUUGUGAGAGAUGCAAGUGGGCAGACAGGGAGGCUCUAAAAAGACCUUUUAAAUGUUAUGAUAAGUUUGGGAUUUGUUUCUAAGUGAAAUAAUCUAAAUCAGUUAUAUCUGAUAUGUAAGUUUAUUUACUUGACUCCUCUACUGAGAAAGUUAAAUUUUAUCUCAUAUCCUUGGCAGAAUUCCAGAGAAAAGUCAAGUUUUUAAUCAAUAGCCACACUUUACUGCCUAGUAAAGUCACUUAUGUUGAGAAGGAUGAAUUGUGUUUUACUAUAAAAAGCAGUCUUGACAAUCCCCUUCAUUCCUCCAAGCUUCUAUAAUGAAUUGGUUUUUAUUUCCUUAAGUGCACUGUCAUGACAAAUUUUUAGCGCUGCUGGCAGAACAGCAGCCCAUCAGAGGACAGUGAAGGAUGGAUUUGGGUGAGGACCCCCGAGCUGUGGGGGAAGGUAGAGGUGCACUCUGACGCCCCUGUGCAUUAUUUCUUCUCGUGAGAGUUCAGCCCAGCGGACUUGGGUGAACUGACCAGGGUGACUGAGCUGUUCAUCUUGUGGGGUGAGAUGCCUCGUGUCUUCUCGAGAAUUCUGGUGGAUAUGUGGGAAUUCUGAUGGAUAUGUUAUUAUCAUUCAGCCGGAGCCAUUCUGUAUGUUCCAAUUGCUGUAUGAACUGAGGGCAAAAGAGCAAAAAAGAUUGGAGUGGGGAUUGGGACGAGGCUCCGCAGGCGGUUUGCUGCUGCUGUCUCCUCCCUGCCGUCCUGGGCUCCUGGGCCCAUCGUGGGGGCACAGGCUCCCAGGGCCUCAGCCUCACGCUUGCUCACAGCGCCCAGUUCUGACCAGACCCCCCCAUCCCCCAUUUCACUCCAUCUCUGCCACUUUAUAAAAAGGAAAGGGAGAUACCUGGCCAGAAUUUCCAGAAUUUCUCCUGGUUGUGACGUUGUCAGGCCUUCGUGCAGACAUCCUUGUGUCCAGGAAUUCUCACUCUCAUUUAGUGGUUGGUGAGUGCCUUGGCUGGCCUCCUUUUCACUUCUCAUUUGCUGGUGGAAGCACUCCAGUUUACUUACUGAAUAGUUGUUACCUUAAUUUCCUCUUUUUUGUUCCCUCUCCAUGUAAAGAAGUCCCUGGAAACCCCAAUUAUGAACUGCCCCCCUCUGGGAAAGGUUACUUGUCUGGGAGGAGAGCGGGAGUGGGAGAUGUGGUUUUCAAGCAGGAGGCAUUGGGGCUUGAGCUGUGGGAGGGGGCAGCUUCUAGGUUUCCUUGUGAGAACUCUUGGUGAGUCUGGAAUAUUUGGACUAAUGCCAUAUGUGCUGUGGAAGUAGGAAACCUCAUUUUGGUGAUAAAUAUACUGACUGUCUUAAUUAGCCACAUGUCUGCUCUUCUCUGGUUGGGAAGGAUUGUGGAAUAAUCUAUAGCAGGUCUUGUAUUUUGGAAGCAUCCCCCAGUUUGGGCUCUGUCAUAAAUUGGUACAUUUUAGCAGUUACACUGGCAGAGGAAGCUUUAAUGAAAACCUUAGUGCACACAUAGAAUAGAUUCUAGGUCUAGGGUAUUUUGGGGUAGCGGCGUCCAUGGGAGCUCCUCAGGUUUAUUUUCUUGUAGUCUGUAGCUGUGUUGUGGACAGCGAUGAAUUGUACUCGGUUUCUCUUUAGGAGGGUUCUCUGCGGGGUCCUGCCAGCUGCAUGGACCCUCCUCUCUUUUGCUUCAGUUCCAGGAAGGAGGUGCUUGGUGUGCUGCUCUGUUCCUGUGCUGCUGCCCGAAAGGCAGGGUCCUUUGCUGUCUGCUGUUGUUGUUAGCAGGAAAAUCAGUAGCUGCGAACAGGUAAACUGUGGUACAUCCAUUCAGCUGAUGCUGAGGGAAGGAAGGCAGUCUCUAAGGCUACUAGGAUUCCACUUGUAUGACAUUUUCAGAAAGAUGGAACCACAGCGACAGAACAAAUUGGUUGACUGCCGGGAGUUGGGGUGGGAAAAGCAUGACGCCAGAGGAGCAGCAUGAGGGGCAUUUUGAGAGGUGAUGGAAUGGUUUUGUGUCCUGGUUGUGGUAGUGAUUCUGUGUGUUAAAAUUAUAGAACUGUAAUAAGUAAAGGAAUGUAUGUAUGUGUAUCACUAAGUCACUUUGCUGUACAGCAGAAAUUGACACAACAUUGUAAAUCAGCUAUAC